UGAUGAUCUAAUCAAUUCAUUAGAAGAGCGGGACUGAUUUGAGCCUAUUGGUGUAGGGGAUUCUUGCAUAGUGUUCACAUCGAAACUUCUUGCAACAUCUCCAAAAAUGGUGUAGGUGAUUUUUUUGUGAGAGAGGUUUAGAUUCGUCAAGAAGUUAGAAGAAUGUUUCUGGAUUACUGUGGAAAGAAGAACAAAAAGGGUUGUUGUCAUUGUGGAGGAUUCACUUAAACGUCCAAGGUUUUAAGGUUGUUGAUUUUUUUCGAAUUGAAGAUAGAAGCAAAUGUUUGAGACUGAUAUAACUAAGGCUUGAUUGGUUCUUCACCUCUUCUUCCUCUGCCUUAUAUCAAGCACAAUCUGAUGAAUGUGGAGGCUAAAGGUUGAUGUUGAAUGUUCUUGGCAUAUAUGAAAGUGUCAGGCACGUUUUGACACUGCGGAAGUUCAAGUAAAAUGCAGAUCAUGUCCAUUGUAAAAUAGUGGCUAUGGAAUUAUGAGGAAAUUGUGUGAUAUAUUUUGUUAUUUUGACUAUAGU